CGGAGCCGGGCGUCUCCGGUAUUGGUCCGGCCCGGGCCGUGCCGGGAUUCCUGCAGCCCCCGCCGUCCCCUGACGCCUCCCAGCCGCACGGCUCCGUGUUUUCCCUCCGCAGGUGUGUUGGAGCGGCACAGAGCCCCGCGGCUGCUGCCGGCUCCCCGCGCUGCGCGUGCCUUGAGGCGGCUGUUCUGCCCUGUGGGUGCAGGUGUUGAAGUUCUCUGCCGCUGGGAGCCUUCUGCAGGCAGCUGCUGUUGGGCGUGUUUUGAUGACACCACUGGUAAGCAAGAAGACGGACCAACUUCUGGAUACUUCAUGUGACUGAAAGCUGGAGGUAAUACUUGUCACUUACUUUAUUUGGCCGUCUUUAAUUUUUAAGAAAGCUCCAGGAUUGAGAUCAAUGUUACAGGUUGCCUGGAUGUGACAAACCUCUGUGAAAGUUUUGAAGCCAUCUGUGAAGUUUGCUGUAGUGAUGCAUCUUCUGGCCCUUGUGUAACAGGCCACAUCUGUGACUUUGACAUACUUCUAGAGGCUGAUUUUUCUCUUAGACACCUCUGCUAUUUUGUAUAACAGGAAGUGUCUUCAGCCAUCACCUCGCGAACAUUACUUCAUCUGCUGAACCUUUGUCCAUCUCUUCGGUCUUGACUUGACUGAAGUUCUCCGUAUCUGGAGGGAUUUUGCAAGAUGAGAGCUUCAGUGACUGCUGAUUUUGUUGUUGUUCUUUUUUCUCACUAGCUGCUGAGUUGUGUUAGUAUGAUCUGUGGCUUAUCUGUUUGGUGUGUCCUUUUAUGCAGCCUCCUCAGUGGUUUUAAUCUGACCAGUGUUUGGAUUCUGUUGGGUGUUACACGUGUUUCUUUUUGAAGAUAAGUUUGUGUGUUUAUUAUCAGAUGUGAUGUUUUAAAUUAAUUGCAGAGUUGUUGGUUUUUUUUUUCCCACCGGUGGCAAAACUGGCUUGGGCUACUCCAGCAGUGUGUUAUUAAAGCCAAAAUUGUUUUGAAGUUCUGCUGGGUUUUUACCUGUGCCAUUAGGGAAGAAUGGCCCCUCUUCACCUGCCAGAUCUGUAACA
rnacentral:lncRNA from 1 species